rnacentral:misc_RNA from 1 species
CUGAAACUGAAAACGGUUGUUGGUACC